rnacentral:rRNA from 1 species
CCUACGGGCGGCAGCAGUAGGGAAUCUUCGGCAAUGGGGGCAACCCUGACCGAGCAACGCCGCGUGAGUGAAGAAGGUUUUCGGAUCGUAAAACUCUGUUGUUAGAGAAGAACGUUAAGUAGAGUGGAAAAUUACUUAAGUGACGGUAUCUAACCAGAAGGGACGGGUUACUAAGUUGCCAGCAGCGCGGGAAAACCGUAGUUCCAAAGUGUGUCCGGAUUUAUUGGGCGUAAAGCGAGCGCAGGUGGUUUCUUAAGUCUGAUGUAAAAGGCAGUGGCUCAACCAUUGUGUGCAUUGGAAACUGGGAGACUUGAGUGCAGGAGAGGAGAGUGGAAUUCCAUGUGUAGCGGUGAAAUGCGUAGAUAUAUGGAGGAACACCGGAGGCGAAAGCGGCUCUCUGGCCUGUAGCUGACACUGAGGCUCGAAAGCGUGGGGAGCAAACAGGAUUAGAUACCCUGGUAGUC